AAGGAGGUGAUCCAGCCGCAGGUUCCCCUACGGUUACCUUGUUACGACUUCACCCCAGUCAUGAAUCACAAAGUGGUAAGCGCCCUCCCGAAGGUUAAGCUACCUACUUCUUUUGCAACCCACUCCCAUGGUGUGACGGGCGGUGUGUACAAGGCCCGGGAACGUAUUCACCGUAGCAUUCUGAUCUACGAUUACUAGCGAUUCCGACUUCAUGGAGUCGAGUUGCAGACUCCAAUCCGGACUACGACAUACUUUAUGAGGUCCGCUUGCUCUCGCGAGGUCGCUUCUCUUUGUAUAUGCCAUUGUAGCACGUGUGUAGCCCUACUCGUAAGGGCCAUGAUGACUUGACGUCAUCCCCACCUUCCUCCAGUUUAUCACUGGCAGUCUCCUUUGAGUUCCCGGCCGAACCGCUGGCAACAAAGGAUAAGGGUUGCGCUCGUUGCGGGACUUAACCCAACAUUUCACAACACGAGCUGACGACAGCCAUGCAGCACCUGUCUCAGAGUUCCCGAAGGCACCAAUCCAUCUCUGGAAAGUUCUCUGGAUGUCAAGAGUAGGUAAGGUUCUUCGCGUUGCAUCGAAUUAAACCACAUGCUCCACCGCUUGUGCGGGCCCCCGUCAAUUCAUUUGAGUUUUAACCUUGCGGCCGUACUCCCCAGGCGGUCGAUUUAACGCGUUAGCUCCGGAAGCCACGCCUCAAGGGCACAACCUCCAAAUCGACAUCGUUUACAGCGUGGACUACCAGGUAUCUAAUCCUGUUUGCUCCCCACGCUUUCGCACCUGAGCGUCAGUCUUCGUCCAGGGGGCCGCCUUCGCCACCGGUAUUCCUCCAGAUCUCUACGCAUUUCACCGCUACACCUGGAAUUCUACCCCCCUCUACGAGACUCUAGCUUGCCAGUUUCAAAUGCAGUUCCCAGGUUGAGCCCGGGGAUUUCACAUCUGACUUAACAAACCGCCUGCGUGCGCUUUACGCCCAGUAAUUCCGAUUAACGCUUGCACCCUCCGUAUUACCGCGGCUGCUGGCACGGAGUUAGCCGGUGCUUCUUCUGCGAGUAACGUCAAUUGAUGAGCGUAUUAAGCUCACCACCUUCCUCCUCGCUGAAAGUGCUUUACAACCCGAAGGCCUUCUUCACACACGCGGCAUGGCUGCAUCAGGCUUGCGCCCAUUGUGCAAUAUUCCCCACUGCUGCCUCCCGUAGGAGUCUGGACCGUGUCUCAGUUCCAGUGUGGCUGGUCAUCCUCUCAGACCAGCUAGGGAUCGUCGCCUAGGUGAGCCAUUACCCCACCUACUAGCUAAUCCCAUCUGGGCACAUCUGAUGGCAAGAGGCCCGAAGGUCCCCCUCUUUGGUCUUGCGACGUUAUGCGGUAUUAGCUACCGUUUCCAGUAGUUAUCCCCCUCCAUCAGGCAGUUUCCCAGACAUUACUCACCCGUCCGCCGCUCGUCACCCAGAGAGCAAGCUCUCCUGUGCUACCGCUCGACUUGCAUGUGUUAAGCCUGCCGCCAGCGUUCAAUCUGAGCCAGGAUCAAACUCU
rnacentral:rRNA from 1 species